GAGCCUGCGUCCUAUUAGUUAGUUGGUGGGGUAAUGGCCUACCAAGACUACAAUGGGUAGCCGGUCUGAGAGGAUGUACGGCCACACUGGGACUGAGAUACGGCCCAGACUCCUACGGGAGGCAGCAGUGGGGAAUAUUGCGCAAUGGGGGAAACCCUGACGCAGCGACGCCGCGUGGAUGAUGAAGGCCUUUGGGUUGUAAAAUCCUGUACUGGGGGAAGUGACGGUACCCCAAGAGAAAGCUCCGGCUAAUUAUGUGCCAGCAGCCGCGGUAAUACAUAAGGAGCAAGCGUAAUCCGGAAUUAUUGGGCGUAAAGAGCUCGUAGGCGUUCUUAAAAGUCAGGUGUGAAAUUAACUGGCUCAACCUGUUAAGGUCAUCUGAAACUUUAAGACUUGAGGAUAGAAGAAGGAAGUGGAAUUCCUUGUAAGCGGUUGGAAAUGCGUAGAU
rnacentral:rRNA from 1 species